rnacentral:lncRNA from 1 species
UUUUUUUUUUUUUUUUUUUUUGUAGAAUGUGUUGGAGCCUAUAUGACUAUCAGGCUGCAACAAACAGCUAUGGGAAGGGGUUAACAUACUUGAAAAAUAGGGAAACCACAAAUCAAAACCAAAAAAUGCAUUCAGAAUAACUAAAAAGAAGAGGACAUAAGCAUAAAAUAAAAGGAAAUCAUCGAACCAAAACAGGAAAGGAACAAAGGUGAAAAACAGAAUCAAUUGGAAAACAAAGUUUAAAAUGUCAAUAAAUACAUGUUUAUCAAUAAUUACCUUAAAUGUCAAUAGAUUGUUCUAAUCAAAAGACCAGAAUGACAGAAUGGAUUAAAAAAAAUAAGAGUGUAACAAUAUGCUGCCUACAAGAAACAUACCUUAGGGCAAAGGACAUAUAUAAAUUGAAAGUGAGGGGAUAGAAAAAGAAAGUUCAUGCAAAUGGAAAUGUCAGGAAAGCAAGAGUUGAAAUACUCAUAUCAGACAAAAAAGACUUUAAAACAAAGGCCAUAAGGAAAGAAAGAAGGAUGCUAUUUAAUAUUAAAAGGACCACUUCAAGAAGAGGAUCUUACACUCAUCAAUACAUAUGCCCCUUAUAUCAAAGCACCUAAAAUAUAUACAACAAAUGGUAAUAGACAUAAAAGAAGAAACUGAUGGAGGAAUUCCCAUCGUGGCUCAGUGGAAAUGAAUUUGACUAGCAUCCAUGAGGACACAGGUUUGAUCCCUGGCCUCGUUCAGUGGGUUAAGGAACCGGCGUUGCUAUGAGCUGUGGUGAAAGUCACAGAUGUGGCUCAGAUUCUGCAUUGCUGUGGCUGAGGUGUAAGGUAGUGGCUAUAUUUGAUUUCACCCCUAGCAUGGGAACCUCCAUAUGCCAUGGGUGCAGCCCUAAAAAGAUUAAAAAGAAGAAGAGAAAGAAGAAACUGAUGGUAAUACAGUAAUAGUAUAAGACUUUAACACCCUACUUAUAUCAAUGGAUAGAUCCUCUAGACAGAAAAUCAAUAAGGCAACAGAGAUCCUAAAUGACACAAUAAAACAUUUAGACUUAACUGAUAUUUUUGGGACACAACAUCAAAAAAAAAUCAGAAUAUACAUUCUUUUCACAUGCACACGGAACAUUCUCAAGGACUGACCACAUACUAGAGUAGAGAAAUUAUUUCAAGCCUCUUCUCUUGACCACAAUGGCAUGAAACUAGAAAUCAACCACAGGAAAAGAAAUAAGAAAAAAACUGACCACAUGGAGACUAAACAACAUGCUACUAAAACAACAAAGGAAAAUGAGGAAAUUAAAAGGGACACUACAAAAUAUCUCUAAACAAAUGACAAUGAAAACUAAACCAUUUAGGAAUUCCUGUUGUGGCUCAGCAGGUUACAAACACAACUUAUACACAUGAAGAUGCAGGUUUGAUCCCAGGCCUCACUCAAUGGGUUGAGGAUCCAGCGAUGCUGGAAGCUGUGGUGUAGGUGGCUCAGAUCUGGCACUGCUAUGGCUGUGGUGGAGGCCAGCAGCUACAGCUUUGAUUUGACCUCUAGCCUGGGAACUUCCAUAUGCCGCAGGUGCAUGCUUAAAAAAAAAAAAAAGGAGAGAGAGAGAAAAGAUGAAGAAAAAAAAGGAGACAUCUCAAUGGAUAUUGUAGAUAUAACAAAAAAAAUAAGAGAAUAGUAUGAACAAUUACAUGGCAACAAAUGUGACAACCUAAAAGAAAUGGACAAAUUUCUAGAGACAUACAGCCCACCAAAACUGAAUCAAGAAGAAAUAUAUCACUGAGCAGAAUAAUAACUAGAAAUGAAACUGAAUAUGUAAUAAAAACCCUCCCUACAAACAAAAGCCCAGAACCAGAUGGCUUCACAAGUGAAAUCUACCAAACAUACAGGGAAGAACUUAUACUCAUCCUUCUUAGACUUUUCUAAAAGAUUGAAAAAGAAGAAACACUCUCAAAGACAUUCUAUGAAGCCACCAUCACCUUAAUACUAAAACCAGAUAAAGAUACUAGCAAAAAGGAAAAUUAUAAGCCAAUAUUUUUUAUGAAUAUAGAUGCAAAAAUUUUCAACAAAAUUCUAGUCAACCAAGCCCAGUAACAUAUAAAAGAGAUCUUACACCAUGAACAAGUGAGAUUCAUCCUAAGUUCACGAGGAUGGUUAAACAUACACAAAUCAAUCAAUGGCAUACACCACAAUAGCAAAAGGAAAGUCAAAAACCACAAGAUCAUCCCAAUAGAUGCAGAAAAAGCAUUUAACAAAAUCCAACAUCCAUUCAUGAUAAAAACCCUUACUAAGGUGGGUAGAGAGAGAAUAUCACUUACAUAAUAAAAGCCAUGUAUGACAAACCCACAGCCAAUAUAAUACUCAGUAGAGAAAAGCUGAAUGUGUUCCAGCUAAAAUCUGGAACAAGACAAGGAUGCCCAUUCACACCACUUUUAUUCAACAUAUUAUUGGAAGUCCUAGCCACAGCAAUUAGACAAACAAAAAAAUAAAAUCUAUCCAAAUUAGAAGAGAAGGAAUAAAACUGAGUUCCUGUCGUGGCGCAGUGGUUAACGAAUCUGACUAGGAACCAUGAGGUUGCAGGUUCAAUCCCUGGCCUUGCUCAGUGGGUUAAGGAUCUGGCGUUGCCAUGAGCUGUGGUGUAGGUCGCAGACGCUGCUUGGAUCCCAUGUUGCUGUGGCUCUGGUGUAGGCCAGCGACUACGGCUCCAAUUGGACCCCUAGCCUGGGAACCUCCAUAUGCUGCAGGAGUGGCCCUAGAAAAGGCAAAAAAAAAAAAAAAAGUUAAAAAAAACAUUGUAACUAUAUGAAGAUGACAUGAUAAUAUAUAGAAAACCCUAAAGAUUUCACACGAAAACUACUCAAACUGAUCAACGCAUGCAGCAAAGCAACAUAAUACAAGAUUAGCAUUCAGAAAGCAGUUGCAUUUCUACAUACUAUCAAUGUAAUAUUAGGAAAGGAAUUUUUUUAAAUGCCUUUUAUAAUUGCACCCCCAAAAAUUAAAUACCUAGGAAUAAACCUAAUCAAGGAGGUGAAAGACUUACAUAAUGUGAACUAUAAAACAUUAAUAAGGAAAUUAAAGAGGAUUCAAAGGAAUGGAAAGAUAUCCCAUUCUCCUGGAAUGGAAGAACUAAUAUUUUUAAAAUGGUCAUACUACCCAAAGCAAUCAACAGAUUCAAUGCAAUCCCUAUCAAAUUACCUAUGACACUUUUCACAGAACUAGAAAAAACAAUCCAAAAAUUUAUAUGGAACCAUACAAUACACAGAAUUCUUAAAGCAAUCCCAAAGUGGAGGUGGGCAAGCAGGAGGCAUAACUCUCCCAGACUCCAGACAACACUUCAAAGCUACAGUAAUCAUGACAGUGUGGUAUAAAAACAGACAUACACCAAUGGAACAGAAUAGAGAACCCAGAAAUAAACCCAGACACCUAUGGUCAAUUAGUCUUCAACAAAGGAGGCAAGAACAUAAAAUGGGAAAAAGACAGUCUCUUUAGUAAGUGGUGCUGGGAAAACUGGACAACUGCAUAUAAAUCAAUGAAACUAGAACACACCUGCACACCAUGCACAAAAAUAACCUCAAAUGGUUUAAAGACUUCAACGUAAGACAAGCUAUUAUAAAAUUCCUACAAGAGAACACAGGCAAAAUAUUCUCUGACAUCAACCAUACAAAUGCUUUUUUUAGGUCAGUCGCCUAAGGCAAGAGAAAUAAAAACAAAAAUAAACCAAUGGGACCUAAUCAAAUUUACAAGCUUUUGCACAGCAAAGAAAACUAUUAAAAAAAAAAAAAAAAGACAACCUAUGGAAUGGGAGAAAAUAGUUUCAAACAAUGCAAUCAACAUUAAUCUCCAAAAUAUAAAAAAAAACUCAUACAGCUCAACAGCAAAAACAAAACAAAACAAAACAAAAAAACAAAUAACCCAACUGAAAAAUAGGCAGAAGACCUAAACACGCAUUUCUCCAAAGGAGACAUA